UGCUUAACACAUGCAAGUCGAACGGGCUCUUUCGGGAGCUAGUGGCGGACGGGUGAGUAACGCGUGAGGAUCUGCCCUUAGGACGGGGACAACAGCUGGAAACGGCUGCUAAUACCCGAUGUGCCGAAAGGUGAAACAUUUAUGGCCUGAGGAUGAGCUCGCGUCUGAUUAGCUAGUUGGUAGUGUAAUGGACUACCAAGGCGACGAUCAGUAGCUGGUCUGAGAGGAUGACCAGCCACACUGGGACUGAGACACGGCCCAGACUCCUACGGGAGGCAGCAGUGGGGAAUUUUCCGCAAUGGGGGCAACCCUGACGGAGCAAGACCGCGUGGGGGAAGAAGGUUUGUGGAUUGUAAACCCCUUUUGAUUGGGAAGAAGACAGUGACGGUACCCAUCGAAUCAGCAUCGGCUAACUCCGUGCCAGCAGCCGCGGUAAUACGGAGGAUGCAAGCGUUAUCCGGAAUUAUUGGGCGUAAAGCGUCCGUAGGUGGAAGUUCAAGUCAGCUGUUAAAGCGUGAGUCUUAACCUCAUAAGGGCAGUUGAAACUGAGCAUUUAGAGUGCGAUAGGGGCAAGGGGAAUUCCCAGUGUAGCGGUGAAAUGCGUAGAUAUUGGGAAGAACACCGGUGGCGAAAGCGCCUUGCUGGGUCUGCACUGACACUGAGGGACGAAAGCUAGGGGAGCGAAAGGGAUUAGAUACCCCUGUAGUCCUAGCCGUAAACGAUGGAUACUAGGCGUUGACCGUAUCGACCCGGUCAGUGUCG
rnacentral:rRNA from 1 species